rnacentral:lncRNA from 1 species
ACCAUAAAGAAGCUUAAUGUUUACAGUUUACUUAAAAUCAGUAUUUUAUAAGUUUAAGUAGAAAUAUGAAACCUAUCAGUUAAUAUUAUAAUUUUUGCUUUGAUCUAUUACAGAUUUUUUAAAUUCAAGAGAAUACUCCAUCAUAUUUACCCAGAUAUUUAUCAUUUCUCUUACUCUUAAAUUUCCUGAUGUUCCAAAGUUUGCGUUGGUGUUAUGAGCUUUCUAUCUGGAAAACUUCUUUCAGCAUUUCUUUUAGAGCUAGUAUGCUGUAAAUGGUCUUAAUUUUCCUUCAUCUGAGAAUAUCAUUAUUUUAAUUUACCUCAUGAAAGAUAUUUUGGCUGGAUGUGAACUCUGUGUCAAUAGUUAUUUACUUUUAACACAUUAAAAAUUGUCAUAUGAUUUCUGAUGAGAAAUGUAUAGCCAUUCAAAUAAUUUUUUCCCUUACAUAAAACCUGAUUUUUCUCUGGCAACAUCAGGAGGCUUUGUAUUUUGUUUUUAUUGGUUUUAUUAUGAUGUGCCUGCAUAUAGGAUUUCUUUGAAUUUAUCCUGUUUGGGGCUAAUGAGCUUAAAUGUGUAGGUUCAUGUCUUUGACCUAAUAUGCUAAGUUUUCAACCAUUUAGGUAUUUUUUUUCUGUUUCACUUUCUUCUCUUCUUCUGAGAGUCCAGGGACACAAAAUGUUAUACUUUUUGUUAUUGCUUUUUAGAGGUGCUAUUGAUUUAUUUCAUUUUUAAGUAUUUCAAUUGACAUAAAAAUUGUAUGUAUUUGUACUGUGCAACUUGAUGUAUAUGUGUACAUUGUGAGAUGGCUAAAAUCAAGAUAACGAACAUUUAUACUACCACAUACACUUAUUUUUAGUGGCUAUAACACUUAGCAAUUUGCUUGUAUAUAUUGUUAUUAGCUACAGGCACCAGGAUAUAUAAUAGAACCCUUGAACUUAUUCCUCCUGGAUAACUGAAAUAGCCCUCCACCAACAUCUCCCUGACCUACACUGCCCCCAUAACUAUCAUUCUGUUGUUUCUGUAAGUUUAGCUUUUUUAGAUUUCACAUUUUAAUGAGUAUAUUAUAGAGUAUUUGUCUUUCUGUGCCUGGUUUAUUUUACCUAACAUUCUCAAUGUUUAUCCCUGUUGCCACAAUUAGUAAGAUUGCCUUCUUUUUAAAAGAUGAAUAGUAUUCCCUUUUUUCCAUACAUAAAGCAUUCCAUACUUUAUUCAUCGUUGAACACAUAGGUUGAUUUCAUACUUGGCUACUGUGAAUAGUGCUACAGUGCACGUGGGAAUGCAGAUGUUCCUCAACGUAUUGACUUUAUUUUUAUUGGAUCUAUAUACACAGAAGUGGGUUUGCUGAAUCCUAUAGUAGUUCUGUUUUCAGUUUUUUGAGUAACCUUGUUGUUUUCCAAAAUGACUGGACUAAUUUACGUUCCCCCAUUACAGUGUAUAAGGGUUCCCAUUUCUCCAUAUCCUCACCAACACUUGUUAUCUUUAGUGUUUUUGGUAAUAGCAAUCCGAAUGGAUACGAGAUAAUUACCAUUGUAGUUUUGAUUUGCAUUUCUCUGCUGAUUAGUGAUGUUGAGCACCUUUUCAUAUACCUGUUAUCCAUGUGUAUCUUCUUUUGAGAAGUGUCUGUGUAGGACACUUUAUUUUUUUAUUUUUUAAUCUUGAGACAGGGUCUCAAAUGAGUUGCUGAAGCUAGCCUUGAACUUGUGAUCCUCCUGUUUCAGCCUCCUAAGUCACCGGGGUUACAGGGAUGCACCACUGUGCCCAGCUUCUUUGCCAAAAUUAAAAUUGAAUUAUUUCUCUUCUUAAUACUGUUUUGAGUUCCUUAUGUAUUGUAAGGGGAUAUUAGCCCCUUACAUAUAUAUCUUGCAAAUAUUUUUUCCCUUUCUGUGGGUUGCCUUUUCAUUUUGUUGAUUAUUUCCUUUGCAGAAACUUUUUAGUUUGAUAUAGUGCCACUUACUUAAUUGUAAGUGCUUUGUUGCCUGUGAUACCCAAUCAUUGCCAAAGCCUUGAAAUAUCAAGGAGUUUGUCCCCAUUUUUCUUCCAAUAUUUAGUCUUCAUUUACAUUUUUAAUCUAUUUCAAGUUAGUUUUUGUAUAUGACAUAAAGGAUCAGUUUAAGUAUUUUGCAUGGUGAUAUCUAAUUUUCCCAGUCCCAUUUAUUGAAGAAACUUUCCUUUCUCUGUUGUGUCUUCUUGGUGGUCUUGCUGAAUAUCACAGGCAUACCUCAGAGGUGUUGCAAAUGGUUCCAAACCAGUGUAAUAAGAUUUUUUUUUGCAAUGAAGUUGAUCUUGAAUUUUUUGGCUUCCCGAUGCGUAUAAAAAUUAUGUUUACCUUAAAUCAUAGUCUUAACUGUGUAAUAGCAUUGUCUAAAAUAU